GUAGCUGGUCUGAGAGGACGAUCAGCCACACUGGAACUGAGACACGGUCCAGACUCCUACGGGAGGCAGCAGUAGGGAAUCUUGCGCAAUGGGCGAAAGCCUGACGCAGCAAUGCCGCGUGCGGGACGAAGGCCCUAGGGUCGUAAACCGCUUUCAGUAGGGACGAAAAUGACGGUACCUGCAGAAGAAGCUCCGGCCAACUACGUGCCAGCAGCCGCGGUGAUACGUAGGGAGCAAGCGUUGUCCGGAAUUACUGGGCGUAAAGGGCUCGUAGGUGGUUGAGUAAGUCAGAUGUGAAAUCUCAGGGCCCAACCCUGAGCGUGCAUUUGAUACUGCUCUGACUAGAGUCCGGUAGGGGAGUGCGGAAUUCCUGGUGUAGCGGUGAAAUGCGCAGAUAUCAGGAGGAACACCGACAGCGAAGGCAGCACUCUGGGCCGGUACUGACACUGAGGAGCGAAAGCAUGGGUAGCAAACAGGAUUAGAUACCCUGGUAGUCCAUGCCGCAAACGUUGGGCACUAGGUGUGGGGAGAACUCAACUCUCUCCGCGCCGUAGCUAACGCAUUAAGUGCCCCGCCUGGGGAGUACGGCCGCAAGGCUAAAACUCAAAGGAAUUGACGGGGGCCCGCACAAGCGGCGGAGCAUGUUGCUUAAUUCGAGGCAACGCGAAGAACCUUAUCUGGGUUGAACUACGUGGGAAAAGCCGCAGAGAUGCGGUGUCCUUCGGGGUCCACGAUAGGUGGUGCAUGGCUGUCGUCAGCUCGUGUCGUGAGACGUUGGGUUAAGUCCCGCAACGAGCGCAACCCUUGUCCUAUGUUGCCAGCGGGUAAAGCCGGGGACUCGUAGGAGACUGCCGGGGUCAACUCGGAGGAAGGUGGGGACGACGUCAAGUCAUCAUGCCCCUUAUGUCCAGGGCUGCAAACAUGCUACAAUGGCCGGUACAACGGGCAGCUAAACCGCGAGGUCAAGCGAAUCCCACAAAGCCGGUCUCAGUUCGGAUUGAAGUCUGCAACUCGACUUCAUGAAGCUGGAGUCGCUAGUAAUCCCGGAUCAGCAACGCCGGGGUGAAUACGUUCCCGGGCCUUGUACACACCGCCCGUCACACGCCGAAAGUCGGCAACACCCGAAGUCAGUGGCCCAACCCCUAGGGGAGGGAGCUGCCGAAGGUGGGGCUGGCGAUUGGGGUGAAGUCGUAACAAGGUAACCGUA
rnacentral:rRNA from 1 species